AUGGCGGCUGCCGCGAGGAGGUGGGCUCAAGGCGGCGCCGAGGCGGGGCCUGCGCUCCGGAGGUGGGGGCCGCGCAGGGGGAGGCGGCGGGGAGCCCGCCGGGAGCCGGCGCGGGGGAGGGGCGGGGGCGGCGGGAGUGCGCCGGGGGGGCGCCGGGGAGCGGGGGGAGGGGGCCGGGGGCGGUGCGUCGGGAGGGCGGGGAGGGGAGGGGAGGGCGCGGGGGGUGGGGGCCCGGAGCGGUGCGUGGGGAGGGAGGGAGAGGAGUGCGCGGUGGGAGGGGGCCCGGAGCGAUGCGUGGGGAGGGGAGUGCGUGGUGGGAGGGGGCCCGGAGCGAUGCGUGGGGAGGGGAGUGCGUGGUGGGAGGGGGCCCGGAGCGAUGCGUGGGGAGGGGAGUGCGCGGUGGGAGGGGGCCCGGAGCGAUGCGUGGGGAGAGGAGUGCGCGGUGGGAGGGGGCCCGGAGCGAUGCGUGGGGAGGGGAGUGCGUGGUGGGAGGGGGCCGGGAGCGGUGCGUGGGGAGGGAGGGAGGGGAGGGCGCGGGGGGUGGGGGCCCGGAGCGGUGCGUGGGGAGGGAGGGAGGGGAGUGCGCGAUGGGAGGGGGCCGGGAGCGGUGCGUGGGGAGGGAGGGAGGAAGGGGAGUGCGCGGUGGGAGGGGGCGGCGCUCGCGGCCGGGAGCGGGGAGCGGCGAGCCGGGCCGAAGCUGGGGGGCGGCGCGCCGGGGGAGAGGCAGCGCGGGAGGGGGCCGUGCGCGGGGUCGGCAGGACUCCCACCCUGGGCCGCAGCCUCCUUCUGUCACCCAGCUGGCUCCCCGGCACGCGGGGCCCCCCAGGCUUGCACCUGGAAACGCCCGCUGGUACUGACCCGAGUGCUGAGAGGGGUCGCGCGGCGGCCUCCCGGCUCCCUCCCGCUCCCAGUCUUAGCCCAGCCGUAGGCUGCGCUCACGCUCAGGUGAGGCGUCUGCCGGCCCUUCCAGGUAGGGUCACGCCACCCCCCCUCCCGUUCUGCCCACCUCCAGCUUUGCGCUUCUGUACCUCUUACUCUUAG
rnacentral:lncRNA from 1 species